CAACAGGGAUUGCCCCAGUAACGGCGAGUGAAGCGGCAACAGCUCAAAUUUGAAAUCUGGCUCUCGGGCCCGAGUUGUAAUUUGGAGAGGAUGCUUUUGGCGCGGUGCCUUCCGAGUUCCUUGGAACAGGACGCCAGAGAGGGUGAGAGCCCCGUACGGUGGGACACCAAGCCUUUGUAAAGCUCCUUCGACGAGUCGAGUAGUUUGGGAAUGCUGCUCAAAAUGGGAGGUAAAUUUCUUCUAAAGCUAAAUACCGGCCAGAGACCGAUAGCGCACAAGUAGAGUGAUCGAAAGAUGAAAAGCACUUUGAAAAGAGGGUUAAACAGUACGUGAAAUUGUUGAAAGGGAAGCGCCUGUGACCAGACUUGCGCCCCGCGGACCACCCGGCGUUCUUCGCCGGUGCACUCCGCGGGGUGCAGGCCAGCAUCGGUUUUCCUAGGGGGAUAAAGGCCGCGGGAACGUAGCUCUUUCGGGAGUGUUAUAGCCCGCGGUGCCAUGCCCUUGGGGGGACCGAGGACCGCGCUUCGGCAAGGAUGCUGGCGUAAUGGUCACCAGCGACCCGUCUUGAAACACGGACCAAGGAGUCAAGCAUUGGGGCGAGUGUUUGGGUGUCAAACCCGCACGCGAAAUGAAAGUAAACGCAGGUGAGAGCUUCGGCGCAUCAUCGACCGAUCCUGAUGUAUUCGGAUGGAUUUGAGUAAGAGCCUUACCGCUUGGACCCGAAAGAUGGUGAACUAUGCCUGUAUAGGGUGAAGCCAGAGGAAACUCUGGUGGAGGCUCGCAGCGGUUCUGACGUGCAAAUCGAUCGUCAAAUAUGGGCAUGGGGCGAAAGACUAAU
rnacentral:rRNA from 2 species